GAUGAACGCUGGCGGCGUGCCUAAUACAUGCAAGUCGAGCGAACAGACGAGGAGCUUGCUCCUCUGACGUUACCGGCGGACGGGUGAGUAACACGUGGAUAACCUACCUAUAAGACUGGGAUAACUUCGGGAAACCGGAGCUAAUACCGGAUAAUAUAUUGAACCGCAUGGUUCAAUAGUGAAAGACGGUUUUGCUGUCACUUAUAGAUGGAUCCGCGCCGCAUUAGCUAGUUGGUAAGGUAACGGCUUACCAAGGCAACGAUGCGUAGCCGACCUGAGAGGGUGAUCGGCCACACGGGAACUGAGACACGGUCCAGACUCCUACGGGAGGCAGCAGUAGGGAAUCUUCCGCAAUGGGCGAAAGCUUGACGGAGCAACGCCGCGUGAGUGAUGAAGGUCUUCGGAUCGUAAAACUCUGUUAUUAGGGAAGAACAAAUGUGUAAGUAACUAUGCACGUCUUGACGGUACCUAAUCAGAAAGCCACGGCUAACUACGUG
rnacentral:rRNA from 1 species